AUAAUCGCUAUGAUGAAACUGUCUCUCAUGAGGACCGCCACAGGAAAGGAAGACCCAGAGUUACCUCUGCUGCAGAGGAUAAGUUCAUUAGAGUUACUAGCCUCAGAAAAUGCAGCCCAAAUAAAUGUUUCACAGAGUUCAAGUAACAGACACACCUCAACAUCAACUGUUCAGAGGAGACUGUGUGAAUCAGGCCUUCUUGGUCGAAUUGCUACAAAGAAAACACGACUAAAGGACAGCAAUAACAAGAAGAGACUUGCUUGGGCCAAGAAACACGAGCAAUGGACAUUAGACCGGUGGAAAUCUGUUCUUUAGUCUGAUGAGUCCAAAUUAGAGACCUUUGGUUCCAACCACCGUGUCUGUGAGAUGGAGAGUAGGUGAACGGAUGAUAUCAGCAUGUGUGGUUCCCACCGUGAAGCAUGGAGGAGGAGGUGUGAUGUAUUUGUGAGAUGCAGAGUAGGUGAACGGAUGAUAUCAGCAUGUGUGGUUCCCACCGUGAAGCAUGGAGGAGGAGGUGUGAUGUCUUUGUGAGAUGGAGAGUAGGUGAACGGAUGAUAUCAGCAUGUGUGGUUCCCACCGUGAAGCAUGGAGGAGGAGUGAUGGUGUGGGGGUGCUUUCCUGGUCACACUGUUUGUGAUUUAUUUUGAAUUCAAUGCACACUUAAUCAGCAUGGCUACCACAGCAUUCUGCAGCUAUACACCAUCCCAUCUGGUUUGCGCUUAGUGGAACUAUCAUUUGUUUUUCAACAGGACAAUGACCCAACACACCUCCAGGCUGUGUAAGGGCUAUUUGACCAAGGAGAGUUAUGGAGUGCUGCAUCAGAUGACCUGACCUCCACAAUCACCCGACCUUAACCCAAUUGAGUUGGGUUGGGAUGAGUUGGACCGCAGAGUGAAGGAAAAGCAGCCAAGAGGUGCUCAGCAUAUGUGGGAACUCGUUCAAGACUGUUGGAAAAGCAUUCCAUGUCUGAAGCUGGUUGAGAGAAUGCCAAGAGUUUGCAAAGCUGUCAUCAAGGCAAAGUGUGGCUACUUUGAAGAAUCUCAAUGAUUAAAAAAAAUAUUUAGAUUUGUUUCACACUUUUUUUGGUUACUACAUGAUUCCAUAUGGGAUUUUUUUCAUAAUUUUGAUGUCUUCACUAUUAUUAUUAUUCUACCAUGUAGAAAAUAGUAGUAAUGUACUUUUGGAUUCAGCAGACAUUCCCAUUUCCACUGUACUUCAC
ensembl:lncRNA